rnacentral:tRNA from 1 species
GCUCUGGUGGCACAAUGGUUAACUGCUCAGUUGCUAACUGAAAGGUUGGUAGUUCAAACCUACCCUGAAGCC